rnacentral:rRNA from 1 species
GCACGUGUGCCUUCAAAAUAUGUGGACAGGUUUAGGGGCCGCAAGCCAUAUCCCACACAAAAUGUCCUAGCUGCCGUGGAUUUCGAUCUUAGAUUCACGUAUGUUCUAGUAGGGUGGGAGGGAUCUGCUCAUGAUUCUGCUGUAUUGCAUGAUGCCCUAUCUCGUCCAAAUGGUCUCAAAAUUCCAGAAGGAAAAUUUUAUUUGGCUGAUGCUGGGUAUGCCACCAGGCCGGACAUAUUGCCACCCUAUCGAGGUGUUCGCUAUCAUCUACAGGAGUUCCAUGGUCCGAAUCAUCCAACCUGUCCAAAAGAGCUGUUCAACCACCGUCAUUCCUCACUAAGGACAACGGUCGAGGUGGUUAUUGCUUGUUGCGUCAUUCACAACUGGAUUUUAGACAAUGGACCCGAUGAGUUUGUAGAUGAUGAACCAACUUGGUACCACCACCUGCCAAGGAGUAGCAAUCGUGUCUCCGACCGAGAGAGUGAUGUACGC